ACCCCGCCCUCCCCGCACAGGAGGACGGACGGGACGCGGUGCUCUCUGCCCUGACGGCACCGGGUCCCCACUUCAGUCGGCACCACCGGCCGCGCGGACCGCACACCGCUCGGGUACCGGCGCCGACGGCAGCUCCGGGCUGCGGUGCCGGAAGGGCUGAGGGUCCCUUCCCGGCGC
rnacentral:ncRNA from 1 species